rnacentral:sRNA from 13 species
GCUGGGCAUGGUGGCGCAUGCCUGUAGUCCCAGCUACUUGGGAGGCUGAGGCAGGAGAAUUGCUUGAACCCAGGAGGCAGAGGUUGCGGUGAGCUGAGAUCAAGCCAUUGCACUCCAGCCUGGGUAACAAGAGCGAAACUCUGUCUCAA